rnacentral:rRNA from 1 species
AGCAGCCGCGGUAAUUCCAGCUCCAAUAGCGUAUAUUAAAGUUGUUGCAGUUAAAAAGCUCGUAGUUGAACUUCGGGAUCAAUUAGUUGGUCAUGCCUUGGUAUGUACUGAUUUUAUUGGUUCUCACCUUCUAAAGAACUAUAAUGUCAUUUAUUUGAUGUUAUAGGGAAUUAGGACUGUUACCUUGAAAAAAUUAGAGUGUUUAAAGCAGGCUCACGCUUGAAUACAUUAGCAUGGAAUAAUGAAAUAGGACAUCGCAUUCUAUUUUGUUGGUUUCUAGGAUCGAUGUAAUGAUUAAUAGGGAUAGUUGGGGGCAUUAGUAUUCAAUUGUCAGAGGUGAAAUUCUUGGAUUUAUUGAAGACUAACUACUGCGAAAGCAUUUGCCAAGGAUGUUUUCAUUAAUCAAGAACGAAAGUUAGGGGAUCGAAGACGAUCAGAUACCGUCGUAGUCUUAACCAUAAACCUAUGCCGACUAGGGAUCGGAUGAUGUUAUUUUAAUGACUC